UUUAUUUUCUGUCCUUUUUCUUGUUUAAUGAGUAUAUCGUCCUAGUUCUUUUUGAAUGUGAGUGUAUAUUUUGUUUAAGUUUUCAGUUUUUUGUUUUUUAUGUGAUUUGAAUAGAUCUGAAGAAACUGAAGAGUUAGAGGGUGGUGCUUGUGCAUACAGACAAAUACAUAUUUAUGUUCGAUGUAUGGGUCGUGUUUACUGAAUUCAAUGUUGAUCUGCUCAGAUUCUGGUGGUUAUGGAGAAGAUCUAAAUUUUCUCAUCGUUUCGUAGUAUUGGAAACCCAAUUUCAGUUUUUUCUUUUUUUAAAUUAUCUUAGAAAUUAAGAUCUGUGAAUCGGGAAGAAGUUGGACAAACUGAUAGAUCUAGGUGAAUUAACGGAGAUGGAGACUUUAGUUGCUGUUGCUCAUCAUAGGAAUCAUCAUCAAUAUUAUGGUAGAAACUGUGGGCAGGGACCGGCUCGAUUUGGGUCCCUGCCUAGUGGUAAUUCUCAUGGGGGCGUCAAUUGCCGUGCUUUCCAGUCCGGUGCAGGGUUACUUCCAGACCUGCGUAAUUCUUGCACGACAACCCCUGUUACCGAAAGGGAGUUUUCCAAUUCAUUUUCACCCAAAACCCCGUCAACUUUUGUUAAUGAAGACCACAAAAGCUCGAAAAAGAACUCGAAAAGUAGUGUGAUUCCAAUCCCAAUUGAGAUCACGUUUGAUAACAAAGACGGGGGUUGUGAGGAUAAUUUUCAUUUCUCUGAACGUUGGGCUGGACCUGCUUAUUCUUGCUCACCUCCCCCGAGUUCUUUGCCCAUGCCGAAAUUUUCACUCCGGUCAAAAAGGGCGGUUUCACUUGACUUGCACACAGCAACCCCUGAAUUUGAUUUGCCGCCUAUGGCUAAAUCUGCUCCUGCUUCCCCAACCAGGGGGCAUAGUUUCUCAUCUACUGAUCUGUUUGAUACUGCUGACUCUGCGACUAAGACCCUUCGUCGCAUCCUCAAUCUUGAUAUCUCUGAUGAAUGAUGUGCUGGGAGCGGUCAGCGCUCCUGUGAAUAAGGGAACUGGUUUAGUUUGCAAAGUCAGUUAUUAGGAUAUGUAUAGAUAUAAUGAAUAAAGUACAUUUGCAGCACAACUUGCUUGUAGUGGUUUUGUUAGCUUUGCGGAAAUUGUAGUGAUGGUGGUGUGCAAGAGCUGUAAUGGCUGGUUGGUUGACUAUCUUUAGAUAUCUGAACAGUUGAUAUGGUGGUUUGCUUGGGCACAGUAGAAUUUCUUUUUUGUUUCUUGAACAUGGAUAUUAAUGAUGCAAAGGUACUGGAAGCAGAAGUGAUAAUUGAUGACUGGCAAUCCAUUGAAAUGGUGAUGGAUAGUCGGCAUGGUUACCAAAUUGACUACUUAAUCAUCUGUUCUGCUCAGAGGAGGCUGCAUUCUGUUUGAUCAUGACACAUUGAUUUCCAUACCUCGAGUUUAUCUUCCUUGUAGCAUUGUUCAUUCUGUUAACUUAUUUCCCCUCGUUUUCAGUUAAGAAUUAGAUUUUUAGUCAUAUACAAGUUGUACAUACUAUAUGAUCCUAAUCUGAUAAGUUUGAUAGGAUUUUGCCUCAUCUCUCUGUUAACCAAUUCUCCCAGCCUGAUAUUUGAUUUAGCCUCUUCUAUGAUUGCCUUUGUUCGCUUCAGUUUAAAUAUCAACAUACUGGGCUUCUUAUUUGUACCUUCGUUUAUGGAUGUCUGAAUUAGCUUGAUUUCAUUCAAUCUUCUUACCUCCUUUAUCCUGUUCACUUCUCUUCUUUUUUCUCUAGCUUUUCAAAUAGGAUCUGACUUGAGUCUUUGCUCUGCAAAGAUGUGGCUUUCCCUUUACCAUCUUUUCUGAUUUUUUAAAAAGAAAUAUGGGAAGGAAAGUAGAGAUAAAUGUGUCUCAGUUCUUCUCUUAGUUCUUAGGCUCGAUUCAUGUCGAGCUCUUCUUGCAAGCCCCCCCAUGUCUGUCCUUUGUUGCCCACUGUUGUUGGGAGGGGGUUUCUCCACCUCUCUUUUUAAAGCCAUUAGUCAUUGGAGAUUGUUGACCAUACCAAGCUGUUCACAGGUAAUUUUUUCUGGUUUUCACUGUCUUUUUAUGAUGAUAUUGUAUCAUGAAUGUCUUCACUAACGUUUUGUUUUACAUUUUACCAGUUCUGGCUACGAGCUAAUUGAAGAAGAAUCUGCAGGAGUUGUCUGCAAAGCUUGUCGUAUUAUUCUUGCACCGUACUUUUGGUUCUGUUUGUUAUAGUGAGUCUGUUGGGAAAUGUUACGCAUUUUGUUUCGUGGAUCUUCAGGAUGUUGGUUUUGCUCCGUUUACUUUGUUGUUUGAAACACCAUACUAGUCAUGGGCAAAGUCUCUAGUGUUUUAUAUUGUCUCGUCUCAAGUUUGUUGGAAAAUGUCGUUUUGGACAAAACUUGAAACACAUGAAGCUCUUAUUGUCAUUGCUUAUCUUUAUCUGUGCUUCCCCAACUACAUCUUAUCAAUUAAUCGAAUAUUGAGAAUUCUUUAUUCUAUUAUUGUAUGAAGGGGUUAUAUGUAAGUGAAUGCAUAGAUUUCAUGUUCUUGUGAUCAAUGGUUUUAAGGCAUGCAACCUCACCACAUGCCUAUAAUUUGAUAGUGUCCUGCUACAUGUAUAUUACCUUUGAC
rnacentral:lncRNA from 1 species